GCAUUGCCGUGAGCUGUGACGUAGGUUGCAGAUGCGGCUUGGACUGGAGUUGCUGUGGCUGCGGUGUGGGCCGGCGGCUGCAGCUCCUGUUUGAUAUCCCUAUGCUGCAGGUGCGGCCCUGAAAAGCAAGGAAAAGGUUUAUUUUUCUUUUCAUGAGUGAUUAAACUGACGGUGGUUACUUUAAUAUCUUUUUUGCUCGUUCCAUCAUCUGGGUCAUACCGGGGUCAAUUGCCAUUACUUUUUAAUUUAUUUAUGUAUUUUGGAGAAUGGCUAGAGCUCGCCUUUCGUUGUUUGUUUAGGGGUCUCGGACGGCAUCCUGAACACUUGUGUUGUUUUGUUCUCUACAUCCACUCUAGGAGUUUUGAGUUUUGAUUUUAACACCUCCGUGUGCUGGCACCUGGCAGAGGACUUGCCAGGACUCAGAUAGCAAAUGCCAUCCCUUGGACAGUAGUGUUCUUUUAUUUUAUUUUAUUUUUUGCUUUUUAGGGCCACUCCCGUGCCAUAUGGAGGUUCCCAGGCUAAGGGUCAAAUCAGAACUGCAGCUGCCAGACUAUGCCACAGCUCACGGCAAUGCCAGAUCCUUAACCCACUGAGCAAGGCCAGGGAUUGAACCUGAGUCCUCAUGGAUACUAGUCGGGGGUCAUAACCCGUUGAACCACAGUGGGAACGCCUCUGUUCUUUUAUUCUUAACCAAGUUGUUCGGAGUCUGCCCUGUGCCUGGGCUCCAAUGUCACUGGGAGACAUAGGCCCAGGUUAUAAAUAGAAUUUGGGUCUCCCAUUCUCUCACUGCUUCCCUUCUGGGAUGCCCCAGUUUUUUCCAGGUGUCAUUGCCCCAACUCCAUCUCCGGGCUCGUCCAACUGCAGGCCUGUCCUUCGGCUAGAACCUGGGACAGCAGGAAGCUCACCGUCUGAACCCUUCUUCCAAGUGCCCACUCCUCUCCAGCAUCUUCCUGUGCUCACACUGAUGACUCUAAGCCCCUUGUUUUGUAUUUUGUCCAGAGUUCAUAGUACCGUCCAAGGGAGGUUAGUUCAAUAGGAGUUUACAGCUUGGAAACGGAAGCCUAGCUUGUCCAUUUCUAUGAAAAAAUCGUGCCUGGGAUCUUAAAACCCACUGGUGUUGAAUGUGUACAUUGCAUUGAGGAGAAAUGACAUGUUCACAAUACUGAGUCUCCUAACCCAUUUUUUUUUUUUCGCUGCACCCGUGGCAUGUGAAAGUUCCCAGGUAAGGGGUGGAACCCGAGCCAUAGUGGAAACCAGAGUCACAGCAGUGACAAUGCCAGGUCUUUAACCUGCUAGCCACUAGGGAACUCCAGUAUUUGCUCUUUUUUAUGCUCUUAUAAAUGUCACUGCUUACCGAAUGAACCUUCCCAACGGCAAAACCUAUAAUUUGCUGCCUCUCCCAGAGCACCUGCAAUGCAGCUAAAGGUUUCAAGAAGGUGGGUUUUCAGGGGUUGGGGCUUGGGUUUUAUAAACCAAGCAUUUGAGCUGAAUGAGGGGCAAGGUAUGCUGGAGGUUAAUUAACCAAAGAAAGAAGCAAUUCUCAGAACCCACCCAGAUGUGCCCGUGUUUAGAAGUAGAGCCUGGUGGUGUGCGGGUUUCCAGGUGGAAGGGGACUCAAGACGCCCCCAGGCUCCUGUCACGUGAAGGCAAGACUUACUUUCCUUUGCUUUGCAGGGCUGCACCUGCGGCAUAUGGAAGUUCCCAGGCUAGGGGUCGAAUCAGAGCGGCAGCUGCUGGCCUACACCACAGCCACAGCCACGCCAGAUCUGAGCCUCGUUGAAGCUCACAGCAACGCCAGAUCCUUAACCCACUGAGCGAGGCCAGGGAAUUGAACCUGUGUCCCAUGGAUACCAGUCGGGUUCAUUACUGCUGAGCCACAGAGGGAACUCCAGUAAGACCGUUUUAGCAGGGAGGGUCGGCUGGCAAAGGAGACAUCACAGGAAGGCUGACCUGUCCAGGGAUUUUUGGAGAGGGAAGUUCCUGCCGGAACUCUGAUACAGUCUCCUCUCUGGGUUGAGUAGACUCCAUCCACAGUGGCUGUAAUUAGCCUUCCAUGGGCGUCGGCCAAGACGGGGCUCUAAAGGAAUGUGUUGAGAGUUGGUGGAGAGGCCCCCUCCAGGAGAUCCAGCCCCGCUGCAGAGGCGGCAGGCCUGACUCUGACUAUAGCUUAGGAGUGGACAUCUGACCCGUGGUGCUCAAGGGCUGUGUAGAUGGGGGCUGCGUGGACAGCAGCCUGGAAAGAGCGGCACCAGGCCUACGGCUUUAGGGUUGGAGUCCUGGGUUUUCGUCUCCAGUAGGAGAGACCUUGGGCCAAGGACGGGAUCUUCCCGAGCGUCAGUUCCCUCAUCUGCAGCACAGGCUCAGCGGGGGCAGAGGGAGCACCGGGUGGGUCAGUUUGGUUAUGACUGGUGCCACCCGGGCAGAUGACAGCACCGACAAACCGGGCAUGUGGGGUACUGGGGUGAAUGAUGUCCCCAAGUUCACGUCCACCUAGACCCGCACGUGACGUUAUUUGGAAAAAGAGUCUUUGUGCAUGUAGUUAGUUAAGGAACUUGAGAUUAAGUCACUUUGGAUUUAGGGUUUACCCUAAAUCCAAAAGGACCCAGGGAGGAGGCUGAGGCCCUGUGACUACAGAGGCAGAGUCGGGAGGCAUGCCUGGGGCGCCAGAUGCUGGAAGAGGCAGGAACGGCUCCUCGCCUCGAGCCUCCAGAGGUGUGUGACAGUGCCAAUACCUUGACUGUGGGCUUUUGGUUUCUGGAACCGUGCCAAUAACGUUUUUUUUUUUUGCUUUUUAGGGUCGCACCCACAGCAUAAGGAAGCUGUCAGGCUAGGGGUCCAACCCAAGCUAGAGCUGCCCGCCUACACCAGAGCCACAGCAACGCAGGAUCCGAGCCAUGUCUGCAACCUACACCACAGCUCACGGCAAUGCCGGAUCCCCGACCCACUAAUCAAGGCCAGGGAUCGAACGUGCAUCCUCGUGGAUUCUAGUCAGAUUGAUUCCCGAUGAGCCAAAAGGGGAACUCCCGCCAAUACACUUUCUGUUAUUUCAACCCCGUUAGUGGUGACGUUAUGACCCGCCUAACAAGCCAAUGAACCUGCCUUUACGAAGGUUCUGCCUUCCUGAUCUUGCCCUCUGGGAUGAGGACCCAAACUUGACCCUGCACACACAGCCCAGUCUGCAGCGCUGGGGCAGGGGGCCGGGUGAAUAAGACUGGGGACAGGGCAGGGCCACCAGCUGACAGUCUUUUUUGGAAAUUCUUUUAUUAUGAAGAUUUCUGGGAGACAACAAAAGCAUCGGUGACAUAACAAACAUUGAGUAGCUUUCACAUAGCCAGAGCAACACUGAAAUCGACCCGUGGUUUAUCCUUAUUCUUUAUUAGUACUAUCGGCCGCCCCGCAGCAUAUGCAAUUCUUGGGCCAGGGAACUGAUAGGAGCCGCAGUCGAGACCUAAGCCGAGGUUGUGGGCAACGCCGGAUCCUCAACCCACGGAGCCCGGCCGGGAAGUGGAAACUGCGUCCCAGCGCGCUCCCCAGACACCGCGGAUCCACGUUGCAUCACGGCAGGAACACAGCAGGUUAUGUUUAUGGGAGCGUCUGAUGCCGUCUCUAUUCUAUUGAAAACAUACCCUGCUUAAUAAGCCUAAACGUCCCUCACAGCUCCCGGUGCUGCACAUUCGCACGGCUGCAGGUGGCGAGGCGGCCCUGUCCGGGGUUCUGCGCUCUGCGCGCGGUACGGCAAACAUUUUUCUGUGUUAAAACCCGGGGCUUAUAUUUACGCU
rnacentral:lncRNA from 1 species